GUCGGGGCGGCUCCAGGUUGGUAGUGCAUGAGACUUUUAAUCGUAGGGUCGUCGGUUCAAGCCCCACCUUGGGCA